AUGAUGAUGUCAAACGUUCUACUGCUGGUGAUGCUGGGACUCCUUGUACUGGAAUCAAAAGCAGAUAAAGUGCUGACUCAGGAUCCAGCAGCUCGGUCUGUUCAGUUGGGAGAGACUGUCUCUAUCAGCUGUACAGCCAGUCAGAGUGUGAGCACUUGUCUAAACUGGUACCUACAGAAACCUGGUCAGGCUCCUAAACUUCUGAUUUAUGCUGCCACAUAUCGCCAGUCUGGGAUUCCUGAUCGUUUCAGUGGGAGUGGAUCUGGGACUCAGUUUUCACUGAAAAUCACUGGAGUCCAGGCUGAAGAUGCAGGAGAUUAUUACUGUCAGCAGUGCAGCAGCUACCCGUUCACACAGUGA